GCAAGUCGAGCGGUAGAGAGGUGCUUGCACCUCUUGAGAGCGGCGGACGGGUGAGUAAAGCCUAGGAAUCUGCCUGGUAGUGGGGGAUAACGCUCGGAAACGGACGCUAAUACCGCAUACGUCCUACGGGAGAAAGCAGGGGACCUUCGGGCCUUGCGCUAUCAGAUGAGCCUAGGUCGGAUUAGCUAGUUGGUGAGGUAAUGGCUCACCAAGGCGACGAUCCGUAACUGGUCUGAGAGGAUGAUCAGUCACACUGGAACUGAGACACGGUCCAGACUCCUACGGGAGGCAGCAGUGGGGAAUAUUGGACAAUGGGCGAAAGCCUGAUCCAGCCAUGCCGCGUGUGUGAAGAAGGUCUUCGGAUUGUAAAGCACUUUAAGUUGGGAGGAAGGGCAUUAACCUAAUACGUUAGUGUUUUGACGUUACCGACAGAAUAAGCACCGGCUAACUCUGUGCCAGCAGCCGCGGUAAUACAGAGGGUGCAAGCGUUAAUCGGAAUUACUGGGCGUAAAGCGCGCGUAGGUGGUUCGUUAAGUUGGAUGUGAAAUCCCCGGGCUCAACCUGGGAACUGCAUUCAAAACUGUCGAGCUAGAGUAUGGUAGAGGGUGGUGGAAUUUCCUGUGUAGCGGUGAAAUGCGUAGAUAUAGGAAGGGACACCAGUGGCGAAGGCGACCACCUGGACUGAUACUGACACU
rnacentral:rRNA from 1 species